ACGAUUAAAGCUCCCUUCGGGGAGUGCAUAAAGUGGCGCACGGGUGAGUAACACGUAAGUAAUCUACCUUCGAGUGGGGAAUAACAACCGGAAACGGUUGCUAAUACCGCAUAAUGCAGCGGCAUCGCAAGAUGACAGUUGUUAAAGAUUUAUCGCUUGAAGAGGAGCUUGCGGCAGAUUAGCUAGUUGGUAAGGUAACGGCUUACCAAGGCGACGACCUGUAUCCGGUCUAGGAGGACGGUCGGACACACUGACACUGAAUAACGGGUCAGACUCCUACGGGAGGCAGCAGUCGGGAAUUUUGGGCAAUGGGCGCAAGCCUGACCCAGCAACGCCGCGUGAAGGAUGAAGUUUUUCGGAAUGUAAACUUCGUAAGAAUAGGAAGAAUAAAUGACGGUACUAUUUGUAAGGUCCGGCUAACUACGUGCCAGCAGCCGCGGUAAUACGUAGGGACCAAGCGUUG
rnacentral:rRNA from 1 species